AUAUAUUCUUGGCCUUUUGGUUAAGAUCAAAGUGUAGUAUCUGUUCUUAUCAGCUUAAUAUGUGAUACGAUCCCUAUUUGGGACCAUCGAUAUUAAACUGAUUUUUAGAACGAGGCGAAGAGUUAGGGGCUUGCUCCGCCUUUGCCACGGGUUGGCCUGGUAUAGCAGUUCAAUGAUAUACAUAUACAAU
rnacentral:snRNA from 1 species